GAGCGGACUCGUAGGAGCUUGCUCCUGCAAGUAAGCGGCGGACGGGUGAGUACACGUGGGCAACCUGCCUAUAAGAUGGGAUACUUCGGGAAACCGGAGCUAAUACCGGAUGACACUUUGGAACUCCUGUUCCUUAGUUAAAAGAUGGCUUCGGCUAUCACUUAUAGAUGGGCCCGCGGCGCAUUAGCUAGUUGGUGAGGUAACGGCUCACCAUUGCGACGAUGCGUAUCCGACCUGAGAGGGUGAUCGGCCAUUCUGGGACUGAGACACUGCCCAUACUCCUACGGGAGGCAGCAGUAUGGAAUCUUCCGCAAUGGACGAAAGUCUGACUGAGCAUCGCCGUGUGAACGAUGAAGGCCUUCGGGUCGUAAAGUUCUGUUGUUAGGGAAGAACAAGUGCUAGUUAAUAAGCUGGCACCUUGACGGUACCUAACCAGAAAGCCACGGCUAACUACGUGCCAUCAGCCGCGGUAAU
rnacentral:rRNA from 1 species